rnacentral:rRNA from 1 species
GGGGUGACCGCGGAGUAUAAGAUAUCCUCCAUGAAAAAAAGCUAACUGCCCUUAUUAGAGAAAGACACUUCCAAAAAAUAAUAAAUUAAUUUUAAAUGAUCCGACAUUCGAUCAACGAACCAAGUUACCCUGGGGAUAACAGCGCAAUCCGUCCCGAGAGCCCCUAUCGACAGGCGGGUUUACGACCUCGAUGUUGGAUCAGGGUAUCCUAGUGGUGCAGCAGCUACUAAAGGUUCGUUUGUUCAACGAUUAAAACCCU